AGCGCACGAGGGAGCAUUAGCUGUUCUUUUGUUAGAAGGUUUGAAAACAGGUUUGGUGUUUUCGGUAAAUAUUUCCGUGUUUUCAGUGAAAAUGUCUUCAGUUCCGCCUCAGAGAGUUUAUCAAGCAGCAGGAAACUCCUGCUGAAGAAACAUUCACAGAGUGGAAAGAAAUCAACGUUAAGAUGGAGGAAGAGAUGGACGAUCAGCGCAGACUGAUGGAUUUUACCCGGAUACCCAAGAUCAUCUUGCACCGGAUAGAUCUGCCACAGUGCUGGGUGUGUAAAGAGGAGGAGGAUCUAAAUGAAUUCAGCAUCCAGGAGAGGAAGUCCACUUCAGAUAAAGAGGAACCAGAAUCUCUGCAGAUGAAACAGGAGCAACAGGAACCAGAACCUCUGCAGAUAAAACAGGAUCAAGAGGAACCAGAACAUCAAGAGUUGAAAGAGGAAGAGAAGCAACUCUGCAUCAGUCAGGAUGAAGAGCAUCUGGUGCUGAAACUGGAGACUGAUGACAUUUUGAUGAAUCCUCUAAAUGUGCAAAGAAUCUACAAUGAAACAGAACCACAGAGGAACCAACUCAUCUCUCAUGGCUCUGCUGAGGAUGAGAACCAGGAUCAGGAAGGAAGCAAUUCUGAAGAUCCAGGAAAAAAGAGAGAUGAAGAACAGAAACAAAAUCGGAGAUAUAAGAAAACCAAACAGCAGAAAAUCGUUUACAGUUUCUUCCGUGCAGACAAAGUGAAACACAGAAAUCAUCUCAGAGCGCACGAGGGAGCAUUUGCUGUUCUUUAGUUAAACUGAAACAGGUUUGGUGUUUUCAGUGAAAAUGUCUUCAGUUCAGCAUCAGAGAGAGUUUAUCAAGCAGCAGGAAACUCCUGCUGAAGAAACAUUCACAGAGUGGAAAGAAAUCAACGUUAAGAUGGAGGAAGAUGGACGAUCAGCGCAGACUGAUGGAUUUUACCCGGAUACCCAAGAUCAUCUUGCACCGGAUAGCACUACCCACAGGACGUGUCGCUAAACAGUGAGAUCUGUGGAAGGAGGAGGUUCUCAAUGAGCCCAGCAACCAGGAGGAAAACUCCACUUUAGAACAAGAGAAACAUCUGCAGAUGAAACAGGAUCAAGAGGAACCAGAACAUCAAGAGUUGAAACGAGAUCAAGAGGAACCAGAACAUCAAGAGUUGAAAGAGGAAGAGAAGAGAGUCAUCCUACAUCAGUCAGGAUGAAGAGCAUCUUGUGCUGAAACUGGAGACUGAUGACAUUUUGAUGAAUCCUCUAAAUGUGCAAAGAAUCCACAAUGAAACAGAACCACAGAGGAACCAACUCAUCUCUCCUGGCUCUGCUGAAGGUGAGAACCAGGGUCAGG